rnacentral:rRNA from 1 species
UACAGAGGGUGCGAACGUUGCUCGGAAUUACUGGGCGUAAAGGGAGCGUAGGCGGAUAGUUCAGUCAGAGGUGAAAGCCCAGGGCUCAACCUUGGAAUUGCCUUUGAUACUGGCUGUCUUGAGUAUGGGAGAGGUUAGCGGAACUCCGAGUGUAGAGGUGAAAUUCGUAGAUAUUCGGAAGAAACACCAGUGGCGAAGGCGGCUGAACUGGCCCAUUACUGACGCUGAGGCUCGAAAGCGUGGGGAGCAA